rnacentral:rRNA from 1 species
UACGUGGGGGGCAAGCGUUGUUCGGAAUUACUGGGCGUAAAGCGCGCGUAGGCGGCCUUGCAAGUUAGCGGUGAAAGCCCGGAGCUCAACUCCGGAACUGCCUUUAAAACUGCAUAGCUUGAAUCCGGGAGAGGUGAGUGGAAUUCCGAGUGUAGAGGUGAAAUUCGUAGAUAUUCGGAAGAACACCAGUGGCGAAGGCGGCUCACUGGACCGGUAUUGACGCUGAGGUGCGAAAGCGUGGGGAGCAAACAGG